AGAACUGUUAUUGCGAAGAGUAGAAUGAUAGAGUAACGUCUUGAAAUGCUCUCACAAAGUUACGAUUAGCAUAAGGUUGAGUGAACAAUCAUAUGUUAAAAGCUCGUUAUAACGGAUUUGGUGUUACCGUAAAUUAUGAAUGAACAUUCAUAAUACGAAAUGCGAACUAGAGGUAGUCGAGUAACAUAUGGUUCUAGUGUCCAUAAA
rnacentral:ncRNA from 1 species